GACGAACGCUGGCGGCGUGCCUAAUACAUGCAAGUUGAGCGCUGAAGGUUGGUACUUGUACCAACUGGAUGAGCAGCGAACGGGUGAGUAACGCGUGGGGAAUCUGCCUUUGAGCGGGGGACAACAUUUGGAAACGAAUGCUAAUACCGCAUAAAAACUUUAAACACAAGUUUUAAGUUUGAAAGAUGCAAUUGCAUCACUCAAAGAUGAUCCCGCGUUGUAUUAGCUAGUUGGUGAGGUAAAGGCUCACCAAGGCGAUGAUACAUAGCCGACCUGAGAGGGUGAUCGGCCACAUUGGGACUGAGACACGGCCCAAACUCCUACGGGAGGCAGCAGUAGGGAAUCUUCGGCAAUGGACGAAAGUCUGACCGAGCAACGCCGCGUGAGUGAAGAAGGUUUUCGGAUCGUAAAACUCUGUUGGUAGAGAAGAACGUUGGUGAGAGUGGAAAGCCCAUCAAGUGACGGUAACUACCCAGAAAGGGACGGCUAACUACGU
rnacentral:rRNA from 1 species